rnacentral:rRNA from 1 species
ACGUCCGUCGUGAAGAGGGAAACAACCCAGACCGCCAGCUAAGGUCCCAAAGUCAUGGUUAAGUGGGAAACGAUGUGGGAAGGCCCAGACAGCCAGGAUGUUGGCUUAGAAGCAGCCAUCAUUUAAAGAAAGCGUAAUAGCUCACUGGUCGAGUCGGCCUGCGCGGAAGAUGUAACGGGGCUAAACCAUGCACCGAAGCUGCGGCAGCGACACUAUGUGUUGUUGGGUAGGGGAGCG